rnacentral:tRNA from 1 species
GACGGUUUGGCCGAGUGGUCUAAGGCGCCAGAUUUAGGCUUUGGUCCAAAAGGGUGUGGGUUCAAAUCCCCACAGCCAUCA